AUUGAACGCUGGCGGCAGGCCUAACACAUGCAAGUCGAGCGAGCGGCGGACGGGUGAGUAAUGUCUGGGGAUCUGCCUGAUGGAGGGGGAUAACUACUGGAAACGGUAGCUAAUACCGCAUACUAUCGGAUGUACCCAUAUGGGAUUAGCUAGUAGGUGGGGUAAUGGCUCACCUAGGCGACGAUCCCUAGCUGGUCUGAGAGGAUGACCAGCCACACUGGAACUGAGACACGGGCCAGACUCCUACGGGAGGCAGCAGUGGGGAAUAUUGCACAAUGGGCGCAAGCCUGAUGCAGCCAUGCCGCGUGUGUGAAGAAGGCCUUAGGGUUGUAAAGCACUUUCAGUGGGGAGGCGUUACCGGCAGAAGAAGCACCGGCUAACUCCGUGCCAGCAGCCGCGGUAAUUC
rnacentral:rRNA from 1 species